UAACAUUCAUUGAAGGUAGGCCUUAACUCCC
rnacentral:piRNA from 1 species